CCUACGGGUGGCAGCAGUGGGGAAUAUUGGACAAUGGGCGAAAGCCUGAUCCAGCCAUGCCGCGUGUGUGAAGAAGGCCUUCGGGUUGUAAAGCACUUUCAGUGGGGAAGAAAGCCUUGGGGCUAAUACCCUCGAGGAAGGACAUCACCCACAGAAGAAGCACCGGCUAACUCCGUGCCAGCAGCCGCGGUAAUACAGAGGGUGCGAGCGUUAAUCGGAAUUACUGGGCGUAAAGCGCGCGUAGGCGGUCUGAUAAGCCGGUUGUGAAAGCCCCGGGCUCAACCUGGGAACGGCAUCCGGAACUGUCAGGCUAGAGUGCAGGAGAGGAAGGUAGAAUUCCCGGUGUAGCGGUGAAAUGCGUAGAGAUCGGGAGGAAUACCAGUGGCGAAGGCGGCCUUCUGGACUGACACUGACGCUGAGGUGCGAAAGCGUGGGUAGCAAACAGGAUUAGAUACCCGGGUAGUC
rnacentral:rRNA from 1 species